UCUCUAAAACGGCGCUGCAUUCUCUCUGUCGCCGUUAUCCUCUUUCGAAAACAUCAUCGCAAUAAUGUCAACACCGAUUCAUCGUCGUCAUCUUCAACUCGGAAAGUUAGCGACUUUGAUCGACUUCGAUGAAGCUUUGACAAACCCAGGGUUGUCUGAUCAUUGUGGCCUGUUUCCGAGAGAUUUUUGUACUUGAGAGGUUAAAGAAGACGAAACAGCAAGAAGAUAAAUGGGUUGUGCUGGAUCGACACAGUCGCAAGGAGAAGGUAUAAACAAUUCUGUUGCUGGUUACAGGAAAGAAGAGCUCUUGAAGAGAAUCUCCAGAAAAACAGCAACUCUAAAUCAUCACCAAGAACAGCUGAGAAAAAGAGCAAUGAUGGACUCAAUAGAUGAUUCCUCCUAAACGAGAGAUGAGAGUUUCAAGGAGUGAAUCUUGUUAGUUAAUGUUAGACUUGUAGCAGAUUUUAGAAUUGUAACAUUUUCUUAUUCUUUUUUUUUUGUUAAAUUGAUGAUUAUUUAAAAAAUGUUAGCUUGUCAACAAGGCUGAAGAAGUAUAAUGUACAAAAACAACCUGGUUUUACAUUAUAAUUCAA